rnacentral:misc_RNA from 1 species
CAACCCUCAAGCCCCGGCUUGGUGUUGGGGCUCUGCGCCACGCAGUCCCUUAAAUUCAGUGGCGGACACGCUAGGUCUCCGAGCGCAGUAGUUUCUUCUCGCUUCGGGCGUCCGGCGUGGGCUUGCCUCGCACACCACUUCUCAA